UCAUAAGUCAUCCAGUGGGCUAGGCACGGUGGCUGACACCUAUAAUCCCCACACUUUGAGCCUGCCAAAGUGCCUUUUUUUGUGCCUUUCACAUAAAGACUAUGACACAGCUAAGCUAUUCAUGUACUAAUAAAUACCUGCCCUGAGCUGUGUGACCACGGACACCACCCUAUAAUGUGGCCAGUGUGUAGGAACUCUGCAGGCUCAGAUCAUUCCAGACAUACAUGCAGAUGUUGGAACUCCCUUGCACAGUGACUCAUGAUCCCAAGGCUGAGUGCUGAGGGCAGGAUUAACCUCAGCGAUUGUUGCUGGCAUCAGUGCAGCCCUGGGACCAGAGCACACCUGGGUGA
ensembl:lncRNA LINC01651 long intergenic non-protein coding RNA 1651